CAGUCGCCGCGGUAAUACGAAGGGUGCAAGCGUUACUCGGAAUUACUGGGCGUAAAGCGUGCGUAGGUGGUGGUUUAAGUCCGUUGUGAAAGCCCUGGGCUCAACCUGGGAAUUGCAGUGGAUACUGGGUCACUAGAGUGUGGUAGAGGAUAGUGGAAUUUCCGGUGUAGCAGUGAAAUGUGUAGAGAUCGGAAGGAACAUCUGUGGCGAAGGCGACUAUCUGGUCUGUAACUGACGCUGAGGAGCGAAAGCGUGGGGAGCGAACAGGAUUAGAUACCCCCGUAGUCCCUGUCUCUUAUCC
rnacentral:rRNA from 1 species